rnacentral:rRNA from 1 species
GAUGAACGCUUGCGGCGUGCCUAAUACAUGCAAGUCGAGCGAACAGACGAGGAGCUUGCUCCUCUGACGUUAGCGGCGGACGGGUGAGUAACACGUGGAUAACCUACCUAUAAGACUGGGAUAACUUCGGGAAACCGGAGCUAAUACCGGAUAACAUGUUGAACCGCAUGGUUCAACAGUGAAAGACGGUCUUGCUGUCACUUAUAGAUGGAUCCGCGCCGCAUUAGCUAGUUGGUAAGGUAACGGCUUACCAAGGCAACGAUGCGUAGCCGACCUGAGAGGGUGAUCGGCCACACUGGAACUGAGACACGGUCCAGACUCCUACGGGAGGCAGCAGUAGGGAAUCUUCCGCAAUGGGCGAAAGCCUGACGGAGCAACGCCGCGUGAGUGAAGAAGGUCUUCGGAUCGUAAAACUCUGUUAUUAGGGAAGAACAAAUGUGUAAGUAACUAUGCACGUCUUGACGGUACCUAAUCAGAAAGCCACGGCUAACUACGU